AACGAACGCUGGCGGCGUGCCUAACACAUGCAAGUCGAGCGGGAAAGUUCCCUUCGGGAGCGAGUACAGCGGCGAACGGGUGAGUAACACGUAGGUAACCUACCUAGGAGCCUGGGAUAACCUGUCGAAAGAUGGGCUAAUACCGGAUAAGACCACGAGGGCUUCGGCACUUGAGGUAAAGAUGGCCUCUGCAUGCAAGCUAUCACUCCAAGAUGGGCCUGCGCGCCAUUAGCUUGUUGGUGAGGUAACGGCUCACCAAGGCUGAGAUGGCUAGCUGGUCUUAGAGGAUGAUCAGCCACACUGGGACUGAGACACGGCCCAGACUCCUACGGGAGGCUG
rnacentral:rRNA from 1 species